rnacentral:sRNA from 1 species
AUGAGUAAUUCGUUGGAAAAAACGGAUCUGAAUAUUAAAAACGGCAUGUUGAUUGUGUGCAGCUAGUAAUUCUAGACAGAAUUUAUUUUAUCACUGGAGGAGAUAUAAUGAAAAAAUUACAGUAUUUUUCACUUAUUAUGUGUCUUUUGGCUCUCCUAAUGGUACCAACCCUGGCAAAAAGCAAAGGUUCAAUGGUAAAGGGUACCCAAGGAUCUAAACUUGUGUCCCAAGUAAGCCCAACUGCUAGGAGGGCAGAUGAAAUUGUUGAUCGGAGUUUGUAUGAUGUAUUUUCAAAUGAUAUUUUUUCAAAGUAAAUAACAUGUGCUACAUAUCAUAGCAAUUUCUUCCAAA